AUCCUUCGGUUCGUGAGCGUGAUGAUUGGGCGUUCAUGUCUUACACAUGAGAUGUGCCUCCCUCAAACCCAGAAUCAUAGGCAUGUGCCACCAAACC